rnacentral:rRNA from 1 species
GACGAACGCUGGCGGCGUGCUUAACACAUGCAAGUCGAACGGAAAGGCCCUGCGUUUGUGGGGUGCUCGAGUGGCGAACGGGUGAGUAAAACGUGAGUAACCUGCACUUGACUUUGGGGUAACUUCAGGGGACUGGGGCUAAUACCGGAUAGGAGCUCCUGCUGCAUGGUGGGGGUUGGAAAGUUUCGGCGGUUUGGGAUGGACUAGCGGCUUAUCAGCUUGAUGGUGGGGUAGUGGCUGACCAAGGCUAUGACGGGUAGCCGGCCUGAGAGGGUUGCCGGCCACAUUGCGACUGAGAGACGGCCCAGACGCCUACGGUACGCAGCAGGCGGGAACAUGGCACAAUGGGGGGAAGCCUGAGGCAGCAACGCCGCGUGCGGGAUGACCGCUUUCGGGUGGUAAACAGAUUUCGCCUGUGACGAAGCGUGAGUGACGGUAAUGGGUAAAGAAGCACCGGCUAACUACGUG